rnacentral:tRNA from 1 species
GGAUGAGUUGCAGUCCUACGGAGAUUAUACGCCGAAAAACUACGACAGCAUGUAUGAGGGCGAAGUCACUAUGUCUGA